ACUGCGAAUGGCUCAUUAAAUCAGUUAUCGUUUAUUUGAUAGUACCUUACUACAUGGAUACCUGUGGUAAUUCUAGAGCUAAUACAUGCUAAAAACCCCGACUUCAGGAAGGGGUGUAUUUAUUAGAUAAAAAACCAACGCCCUUCGGGGCUCCUUGGUGAAUCAUAAUAACUUAACGAAUCGCAUGGCCUUGCGCCGGCGAUGGUUCAUUCAAAUUUCUGCCCUAUCAACUUUCGAUGGUAGGAUAGUGGCCUACCAUGGUGGCAACGGGUAACGGGGAAUUAGGGUUCGAUUCCGGAGAGGGAGCCUGAGAAACGGCUACCACAUCCAAGGAAGGCAGCAGGCGCGCAAAUUACCCAAUCCCGAUACGGGGAGGUAGUGACAAUAAAUACUGAUACGGGGCUCUUUUGGGUCUCGUAAUUGGAAUGAGAACAAUUUAAAUCCCUUAACGAGGAACAAUUGGAGGGCAAGUCUGGUGCCAGCAGCCGCGGUAAUUCCAGCUCCAAUAGCGUAUAUUAAAGUUGUUGCAGUUAAAAAGCUCGUAGUUGAACCUUGGGUCUGGCUGGCCGGUCCGCCUCACCGCGAGUACUGGUCCGGCUGGACCUUUCCUUCUGGGGAACCUCAUGGCCUUCACUGGCUGUGGGGGGAACCAGGACUUUUACUGUGAAAAAAUUAGAGUGUUCAAAGCAGGCCUUUGCUCGAAUACAUUAGCAUGGAAUAAUAGAAUAGGACGUGUGGUUCUAUUUUGUUGGUUUCUAGGACCGCCGUAAUGAUUAAUAGGGAUAGUCGGGGGCGUCAGUAUUCAGCUGUCAGAGGUGAAAUUCUUGGAUUUGCUGAAGACUAACUACUGCGAAAGCAUUCGCCAAGGAUGUUUUCAUUAAUCAGGGAACGAAAGUUAGGGGAUCGAAGACGAUCAGAUACCGUCGUAGUCUUAACCAUAAACUAUGCCGACUAGGGAUCGGACGGGAUUCUAUAAUGACCCGUUCGGCACCUUACGAGAAAUCAAA
rnacentral:rRNA from 1 species